UUGGCUCAUUACAACAGCCGUUGUUUCUUGGAUCUUACUUUACUUGGAUAACUGUGGUAAUUCUAGAGCUAAUACAUGCAACUCAGCUCCGACCUCAGGGAAGGAGCGCAUUUAUUAGACCAAGACCAAUCAGAUCCUCUGGGUCUGAAGCUUGGUGACUCUGAAUAACUUUGCUGAUCACACGGUCCUAGCACCGGUGACAUAUCUUUCAAGUGUCUGCCCUAUCAACUUUCGAUGGUAGUUUAUGUGCCUACCAUGGUUGUAACGGGUAAC
rnacentral:rRNA from 1 species